rnacentral:rRNA from 1 species
AUUGAACGCUGGCGGCAGGCCUAACACAUGCAAGUCGAGCGCGCGGCGGACGGGUGAGUAAUGUCUGGGAAACUGCCUGCUGGAGGGGGAUAACUACUGGAAACUGUAGCUAAUACCGCAUACCCUCAGAUUUUCCCAGAUGGGAUUAGCUAGUAGGUGGGGUAACGGCUCACCUCGGCGACGAUCCCUAGCUGGUCUGCGAGGAUGACCGGCCACACUGGAACUGAGACACGGUCCAGACUCCGACGGGAGGCAGCAGUGGGGAAUAUUGCACAAUGGGCGCAAGCCUGAUGCAGCCAUGCCGCGUGUAUGAAGAAGGCAUUCGGGUUGUAAAGUACUUUCAGCGGGGAGGCGUUACCCGCAGAAGAAGCACCGGCUAACUACGUGCCAGCAGCCGCGGUAAUAC